UUUCCGUAGGUGAACCUGCGGAAGGAUCAUUAUUGUAUAACCGAGGUGCGAGGGCUGUCGCUGACCCGAAAGGUCGUGCACGCCCGAGUGCCCUCACACACAUCCAUCUCACCCCUAUGUGCACCACCGCGUGGGUACCCCUUUGGCUUGUUCGGAGGGGGGCUUACGUUUUCACACAAACUUUGUAUGCAGUGUAGAAUGUAUUUUUUGUUUUUGCGAUCACGCAAUCAAUACAACUUUCAACAACGGAUCUCUUGGCUCUC
rnacentral:misc_RNA from 1 species